CAGUAGCCGCGGUAAAACGGAGGGGGCUAGCGUUGUUCGGAAUUACUGGGCGUAAAGCGUGCGUAGGCGGCUUUGUAAGUUAGAGGUGAAAGCCCAGGGCUCAACCCUGGAAUUGCCUUUAAGACUGCAUCGCUUGAACGUCGGAGAGGUGAGUGGAAUUCCGAGUGUAGAGGUGAAAUUCGUAGAUAUUCGGAAGAACACCAGUGGCGAAGGCGACUCACUGGCCCGAUACUGACGCUGAGGCGCGAAAGCGUGGGGAGCAAACAGGAUUAGAUACCCGGUAGUCCUGUCUCUUAUACAC
rnacentral:rRNA from 1 species